GAGUUUGAUCGUGGCUCAGAUUGAACGCUGGCGGCAUGCCUUACACAUGCAAGUCGAACGGCAGCAUGAUCUAGCUUGCUAGAUUGAUGGCGAGUGGCGAACGGGUGAGUAAUACAUCGGAACGUUGCCCUGUAGUGGGGGAUAACUAGUCGAAAGAUUAGCUAAUACCGCAUACGACCUGAGGGUGAAAGUGGGGGACCGCAAGGCCUCAUGCUAUAGGAGCGGCCGAUGUCUGAUUAGCUAGUUGGUGGGUAAAGGCCCACCAAGGCGACGAUCAGUAGCUGGUCUGAGAGGACGAUCAGCCACACUGGGACUGAGACACGGCCCAGACUCCUACGGGAGGCAGCAGUGGGAAUUUUGGACAAUGGGCGAAAGCCUGAUCCAGCAAUGCCGCGUGUGUGAAGAAGGCCUCGG
rnacentral:rRNA from 1 species